rnacentral:lncRNA from 1 species
GCCAUGAUCCAUCUUCAGAGCUUCUCUUUCUUCCCCAAGGCUGGCGCUGAGAUGGGCAGGUGCUGCAGCAGCCCCGCUGGAAGCGAUGCAGCAUCCAGGACGACGGAGGAAGGGGCGGAGAGGGACCUCUGCUUUCCAGGCUGCCUUUUAUACUGCCUCUGGUCACCUGACAUGGAACGUACCCUAACCUAAUCAGUUACCUGUACCUUAAUUGCAAUUAACUUAAUCCAAUUACAUGACCUGGAAAGGUCUAUCUGCACAGCCCACUCUAAGAUCCUGUCCACUGCUGACAGACAUUCUAAAACCUACUUGUACAGCUGCAAGCUUUGAACAAUAGAUGUUCCCCGUCAGACAUGUAACACUGGUGCCUGUAUCCCUGUCUUCUUUUCCAUCUUUUUUGUUGUUUUGUUUUGUUUCGUUUUAAAAAAUGUGGUAAAAUAGACACCUUUUAAUUGGACCACAUUUUGUCUCUCUCGACGUAGGCCUCAGUGUCAUCAAGGAGACUCUCCUUGACAUGCAGUCACGGCCAUGAUCCAUCUUCAGAGCUUCUCUUUCUUCCCCAAGGAGGCGCUUGGAAACCACCGUGAAUUGGACCGCACUGGGAAACACAGAUGAGGAAAGUCAACAACGCUUUGUCCUUCAGUGCCUGCCUCCUUUUUCAGCUCGUCUUGCGACUCCCGGACGCCUGUGAGGCUGUAAUUCCCUGGGUCCCAUUGCCAUGUCUCUGGAUUUGCGAAGAUCCACCGCACCUUCUGUGGAACUCCCGUGUCGGUGAACUUUUGUGCCACGGCCCCUAAUUCUGCCCAUGGUCAUCCGCACCUGCACGACUUAGGGUCCAUGUUCCUUGGACGGGAAGAGACAGGCAGGAGUCGGAAUGAUGAACCAGCACACUGGGGCGUUUUCUCAUGUAGCCCAAGUGACCCCAUGGUCUUCUCGAGCUUUGGAACCAGUCGCGUCCCCUUUGACACUGCACCCGGCUCCCAGUCUCUCAAUCUUGUUGGCCCUCCGGCGAUCUCCCGUUGGAUGAAUUGCUCCUGCUGAAACUCCAGUCCCCUUUGAUUUGCGCUUCAUUAAUUAUUCAUGAUUCAGGUUGGAAGGCCUGCUGACGACCCCCUGUGGCCGUUCUCUGAGCUUUCCUGUCACAUCGUUUCCUUCCACGCUCUUUGGUUCCUUAUGGUCCUGCUCCCUCUGCUGU